rnacentral:sRNA from 1 species
GUUUUGCGUUAGGGAUUGAAGCGGCAUCCUUUUUUAUUUUUUUUAAAAAAGAUAUAGCGAAAAGCCCGACCCUUG